rnacentral:rRNA from 1 species
CACACGACUCUCGGCAACGGAUAUCUUGGCUCUCGCAUCGAUGAAGAACGUAGCGAAAUGCGAUACCUGGUGUGAAUUGCAGAAUCCCGUGAACCAUCGAGUCUUUGAACGCAAGUUGCGCCCGAGGCCAUCCGGUCGAGGGCACGCCUGCCUGGGCGUCACGC